rnacentral:rRNA from 1 species
GACGAACGCUGGCGGCGUGCUUAACACAUGCAAGUCGAACGAAGUGGCGAACGGGUGAGUAACGCGUAAUUAACCUGCCCUUGAGAGGGGGACAACAGUUGGAAACGACUGCUAAUACCGAAUACUGAAGGAGGGGAUUGCGUCUGAAUGGCUAGGUGGAGGGGGAACGGCCCACCAAGGCGAUGAUACGUAGCCGGUCUGAGGGGAUGAACGGCCACAGUGGGACUGAGACACGGCCCAGACUCCUACGGGAGGCAGCAGUGGGGAAUCUUCCGCAAUUGACGAAAGUCUGACGGAGCAACGCCGCGUGAGUGAUGACGGCCUUCGGGUUGUAAAGCUCUUUUAAUCGGGACGCGGUACCGGAAUAGAAAGCCACGGCUAACUCCGUGCCAGCCGCCGCGGUAAUUC